UGACUUCUAUUCAUAAUAUAUUCAUAUGUGUUUUAACAUAAAAUGUUUAUCAUUUAAAUGGAUUCUCCAGGAAAAUGCACCAGGUUUAUUCUUUUGCUGUGCAUAUAGUUGUGCUCAGAGAGUAGUUCUGCCUCAGUUUGAGGAACAUGGGUGUUCUGGAAGAAAUCCUGUAUUGGGGGUAAAGAUAUGGGGUUCUGGCCCCAUCUUUGCCGUAAAUUAGCUGUGUGACCUUGGGCAGAUCAUUUAAACCCAUUGGUUUCCAUUUUCUUUGAUGUGAAUUGGGUGGCAGUGACUGAUCAGAUUAGAUCACAAAAUCCCUUCCUUCUGUCAUGCUAUAAUGACAUAGAGUCUUGAAUGCCAGGACCGUGCCUCCCCAGUGCCUGAGUGGUUGUGCUUCCUAGACCCCAAGGUCCAGUGUGUGCCAAUAUGGCCUUACCCUCUUUACUGCCUCAGAGUCACAGUAAGGACUUUUCUUUAUAAUUGAAUGAACACAGAAUGAAUGGGCAUCUUGGCAUAGCUGGUUUACACAUUAUUCUUGUUUCCCUUUUCUACAUAUAUGAAAAUGUGAACUAAAUCCAUAGCCCUCCCUUGGUGGAUAAAGACAUGGGCAUAAUAGUUCCAUGAAUUUAGCCUCUUUUCGUAUUCAACAGUCUCAUCCCUUCCCCUCAACUUGUGUUCUCCUUGAUAGAAAUCUAACCACUUCUACAAGUGGCAGCUAAAGAAUUAGUCUUAUAUAACCUUCUCGCUCAACAACUGAAAAGUUGUACAAACCUUUUAAAGAAUUUACCAUCAGCAAGGGCUGUGCUUCUAGGCUUGUCCAAAUUGCUGUGUAAAGUACACUCUCUAAAUUAACCAGACCAUAUUAACCCUGAAAACAAGACUCACUCUUCUUAAGCUAUGUCUCCAGACUGUACCAAAUUGUACUUUCUCUUGAAGUAGGACAUUCUGUGCCCUGUUUGAAAGCUGGAGUGACUAAUGUAGCUGGAAUUGCUGAUGAGAGAAGACAGGAAGAGAAAGAACCGAUGUGCCUUAAGAAUAGGGAAUUUCGACUGGGCACGGUGGCUCAUGCCUGUAAUCCCAGCACUUUUGGGAGACCGAGGCGGGCGGAUCACCUGAGGUCGGGAGUUCGAGACCAGCCUGACCAACAUGGAGAAACCCCAUCUCUACUAAAAAUAUAAAAAAAUUAGCUGGGCAUGGUGGCACAUGCCUGUAAUCUCAGCUACUUGGGAGGCUGAGGCAGGAGAAUCGCUUGAUCCCUGGAGGCAGAGGUUCCGGUGAGCCAAGAUUGUACCAUUGCACUCCAGCCUGGGCAACAAGAGCGCAAAUCAGUCUCAAAAAAAAAAAAAAAAAAAAAGAAUAGGGAAUUUCACUAGGCCCUUUGCAGAAUGCAGUAUGGCUGAUGUGUGUAUUAUGGCAUGGUAAAUAUUACUCCUAGCCUCCUUGUGAAAUGGGCUCCAUGUCAUGCCUCAAAGCCCUACUAAGUCAUUGCUAGGGCUGAGCCUCAAGCCCAGCCCCAACAGUAGGCCCAACCUGGCCUUCCCUCCCAGCACUAUCACUGCCUGUCUUUCAACCUAUGCUAUACAUUGUGACAAUCAGUUAACUGAGGUACAAGUGUAUUUGGACUUAUGCCAGACUGAGAAUGAGAAAUAUUCAGAUCACACCUGGAAAAUGCAAUGCAAAACUCCCUUGUCUUGAGCUAAAAAUCUAGAAGCAUUUUCAAGUGACUAAGUCCCUUAGUUUCUAGGUAUGAGCCUGUGAUAAGUUAUCUUUAGUUGUUUCUGGCUUAAGGGGAUGUCAGUGACUUUUUCCCUUAGCCCCCCUCCUGGAACAGCCGGCUGCUGGUGGACUAGUUUUUUGAAAGAAGCCCUGAAUUCUGAAACCUCAUGCUGGGGCUUUGGGUUAGUGUUUGCAUUACUGACUGUGGUUUCAUGGCAUGAUAAUGCAAAGUUUAAUAAGAGCAGGCUGUCUUUGCCUGCAGCUAGAGAUGCAUUGAGGCAUGACUACUUCUAGUGCCUGCUCUGUGCCAGAUUCACAGUGCCUUACAGCCCCUCCCCAGAACUGGGGCAGAGGAGGAAGAAAAAAGUGACUCUGUGGUUCAGGGGAAGGAGUAAAGUUUCAAGGCUGUGUGAUAGGACAUUUCCCUGAUGCUUGGCUUUAGACUCAGGAUGGGGACGUUAAUACAUUCAGCAGAGGCUGGCUACCUAUACUGGCACCAUUGAAGGACUCUGCCCUGGCUCAGUGCUGGGUUUGCUUGGUGAUGCAGUGUAGUGUAGCAGGAUGAUCACCAGCUUUAAAGCCAGAUCAACCCAAAUUUGAAUCUCAGCAUUAGUCCUCACUCUGCUUUGAGAUGUCGGGCAAGUGAUUUAAUCUCUUGAAAUCUCAGUUUGUUCAUCUGAGUAACAGGUGGUAAAAUACAUACAUUGAAAGGCUGCUAAAAGAUUAAGCAAUGAGAAGGCAAAAUGGUACAGCAACUUUGGGAGACAGUUUGGCAGUUUCUUAUACAAAUAAACAUACUCUUACCAUAUGAUCCAGCAAUCCAUCUCCUUGGUUUUUACCCAAAGGAAUUGAAAACUUAUGUCCACACAAAAACCUGUGCACACAAAUGUUUGUAGCAGCUUUAUUCAUAAUUGCCAAAACUGGGAAGCAACCAAGAUGCCCUUCAGUAACUGAGUGGAUAAACUGGUAUGUCCAUCUGUAUCUUUUAUUCAGUGAUAAAAGAAAUGAGCUAUCAAGCCAUGAAAAGACAUGGAGGAACAUUAAAUACAUGUUGAUAAGUGAAAGAAGCCAGUCCAAAAGGCGGUAUACUGUGUGACAUCUGGAAAAGGCAAAACUAUAGAGAAAGUAAAAAAGAUCAGUGAUUGCCAGGCCUUCGGGGAAGGGAGUAAGGGAUGAGUUGAUGAAGCAUAGGGGACUUUUAGGGCAGUGAAACUGUUCUAUAGUAUCUAGAAUACUAUAUUACUAUAUCAAUCAUAGAAUGAUACUGGAGAACAUACUGUAAUGAUGGACACAUGACGUUGUGUAUUUGACAAACCCUUCUUUGUGUUGUACACAGAGAAGGAACCCUAAUAUCAACUAUGGACUUUAGUUAAUAAGUCUUCUAAAAAGCUUAAACAAGGCAAUGUGUAUAAACUAACUGACUAACUGGCAUAAAUAAAUAGUGGACUUCAAAAAAAAUUCAUAAUCCUAGCACUUUGGGAGGCCGAGGUGGGUGGAUCAACUGAGGUCAGAAGUUCAAGACCAGCCUGGCCAACUUGGCAAAACCCCAUCUCUACUAAAAAAAUACAAAAAAAAAAAAAAUGUAUUCUAAGUUCCAGGAAUGUCAUUUAGACAUAGUUUCUUUUGGGGCUAGAUGUAUCAAUUUUCAUUAAAGGUGAUAUUAUUAUUUAAAAAUCCAGCUGGUUACUAAAUGAGAAUUAGCUACCCUUUAUAACCAGGGAUUGUUUCAAAGAAAUGUAGUUAUUUUCUCCCCUGUGGCCUAUCUUGUGCAAAGUUAGUAAUAGUUUGUUGCCAAAUCCAAGGAAAGCAAACUCUGGCUCAGGCAUGAGAUUUAUUUUUCUCACCAUGAUUUACAACUGGUGUAAAAUUUAGGUCUGGACUUGGUUAGUUAUAAUGCGAUCGCAAUAUACCGCAUCUUGAGUUGAUUUUGCCAUAUCCUGUAUUGUUAUGUAAAAUGCUAACUUUAAUUGAGAAUUGCCCCAGUAGAAUAUCCUUAUUUGUCCUGCAUGAAGUUUCUCCUCUUUUGUAUCAAUUUUUUGUAUGGUUCAAAUUAGUGCAGGAAGAAAAGGCAGGAAAUAUAAAUUUAAGGGAUAUGUGUUAUAUCAUAAAAGAAUUGUAUCACAAAGCAUUAAGACAAUGCACAGAAAACUUUGCCAAUAGCUGAUAGAGCAGAAGGGAUUGUGUAUUUAAAUAAGAACUAACACCUAUUUUGUAACUGGAAAUUGCAUUGUCAGAGUCCCUUUCCUUUUAUCACUAGAUGCUAAGAAUCUAGCCAUGUAAAAACUCCCAAAACAUCCAAAUUCAAAAAAACUGGAAUCUAACGUGGUAAUGCAGUUGUCAAGAACACGCAAUAGUCUUUGGGCUUUUACAAAGCACUGAAAACUAAAUGUUGCAUUUGUGUCCUUAUCUUCCACAACUUCUUUCUUGGCAGCUUUUCUUGGCUCACUUCAGACACACAGAAUUUCAAGUAAUCAGGGAAAGUUGGGACAGAAACUUCCUCUGUCUUUCCAUGGCCUUUUCUUUUUCCUUUACGGAUCUGUGCUCCUAUGCUUUCUCUCACAUUCACAUUAUAUGUGUCAGUUGGAGAAAUCUUGAUGCCCAGUUUCGUUUGUUUCUUCUGUCACACCUGUAAUUAAUUUAGGUUGAGUUCUCUGGCUCAUGUAUCAGAGUAUGUAUGACAAAUUAUCUCAAAGCCCAGAGGGCCUCGGUGGUCCAAGUCCCAGCAACAAGGGACACCUGCUGUCAUGACAUGGGCUUGACCUGCGUUCUGUGGACAUUAAGGAACCACUGUCCUGAGAGGGGGGUAUGGAGCUAAGCUAGGGGAGGGGGCAGGAUGAGCUUAGAGCUGCCGAGGAAACGGAAAGAGUCUAUAGGCUUUAAAAAAGAGAAGAGAAAAAAAGAAGAAUAAAAGAUGUUCCUGGAGACUCUGAGAAUAGUUAAGAGUCCAGGGCCAGCCAGAAUCACCCUUUCCCCCAGCUACCGAGAGUGCCACAGAACAGAAAUUGACUUGGAAGAUAUUGCUCCUAGACCAAAAGUCCAAAUUAAGGGGUAUAGGCAGUUAAGGGCAAGUGAGGGCAGUGGAGAUGGUUGUCCGAAUCCAGUGGACAUGAGAGGUUUCUCAGCUGCCUGCCAGUUCUCUGCUGGGACAAUGCCAGCCAUAAAGUACAAGCCAUGCUUUGGUGUGGGCUGUAGACAUAUUGUUUUCCCAUAACUACUGUCAUUCAAAGAGGAUCUAGUUUCUUGGCAUGAGCAAAUUGUUCCUGCUGAAUACACAUACUAUGUCUGCUAUGGGGCAAGGCAAAGCGAAUCCUCCAAGGAACUGGAUGGAUUUUUCAUUCUGAGAUAAGCAGUUUUUUUGUGGGGGCGGGGGAGGUGGAGAGGAGCCAGCUUCACUCUCUGUUCAUGUGAGUUUUGAAUGAAAUGAGUAAAGUUCAUGUUCCCCCCAGAGUACACAAGGUUCAAGUGGGAUUACCCAGUGGGAAUCCAGCCCGAUUGUAAUUUAACUUGUUCGAGGGAUCUAAAUAUUUAAUCUGCCUUCAUCACGAAUCCUAGAAUCCUAUGUAAGCAGCAAAGGCCGAGGCUCUGAAAGUAAACACUGCAGUUAGAAUCAGAAGUGUUGCAACUAGCACAACUGCUGCUGUGACGUCCUACAAACUUUGGAGAGUGCCAGAGGAAGCUAGCCUGAGAGCACAGAACUGGCAGUCACGAGGCCUGUGUUCUCCAGCUUCGCCUGCCACCAACUCUCUGCGCCUCCAGGCCUCCUUUGUCAAGUAAGGACACAAGCAAAGCAUCUCAGAAGACAAGUCAUUUUCGUAACUGGAAAUGAGACAGAGCCAACAAGGAUGCGUGAAACCAGGACAUAAAUUGUGAAACCUAUGUGAUCAUGUAUAUGUACAAUGUUUUCUUAAAAAAAAUACCAUUCCUAGAUAUAAUAUCAAUUUUUUGUAUGAUUUUGCCCCACAUUUUGCUCAAAUUAUGCAGUGUUUGAAAGAGAUUCUCUGCAGAGGUUGGAAUCACCCCCUUGGGUGCUGGUAGCAAUCUGUGAAGGUAGCUUUUUAGAUGUCACAAUGAUUGGGGGUGGAGUGCUGGUGACAUUGGGUGGGCAGGUGCAGAACUGCUAAACAACGCUCUGGGCAAUCCCACAAAGUGACCACCUGGCCCAUAUCUGGCAUGACUUUCAUGUCCCGCCAGACAUUCAAGGAAUCCAACUAUGUUUUCUAUAUAAACAUAUAGUAUUUUUCACAUCUGAAAAUAUGCACUGAAUUUUCCAGGAGUGUGUUUAAAUAGAGGUACAAGAAUCUGAGCCUCCCUUGUCCUUUAGCGCAAUCAAGCAGAGUAUCCACAUACUGAAAUACACAACAUUUUCUGAUUACAAAGGCCCAGGAAUAGCUAGUUAGCUUGCCCUGGUGUCACUGCUCACUCCUGUGAAGAGUAAGGAUAAACCAUGAGGAUAGUAGUGGUAAUGGUGAAACAGAAAGAACACAGAAAGCUGAUUCUAGAGUAGGGCUAUCUAAUAGAAAUAUCAUGCAAGCCACCAAUUGGAGCCACAUAUGUGGUUUACAUUUGGAAGUAGCUACAUUUUAAAAAGUAAAAAGAAUAUGUAACAUUAA